rnacentral:lncRNA from 1 species
GACAUCAGAUAGCGAUAGUCCUUUUGCCAAGUAGAACAGAAAUGGAACCUUAAGGUGGUAGCUGGUUGGUAACACCCGGCGUUUCUGGGCGAAGCACGAUAAAUAUUACACGUUCAAGAAACAUUAGGCUUGCUCCCCUGACUGUCGAGCCCACCUACAAAGAUGGCUCCCAUAAGGGGCUGUACUAGAUACAUACGUAUAGCGUAUAUCAUUAUCGUGCCAUUCCAAAUACGCAACAGUUGCUCAUUGACGUGAUAAAAAUAUAAGAAACAUAAAACAAUCAAAAAAUAAUUGAUUGAACAAAUGAACAAAUAAAUAAAUAA